UUUUCUUCUCCCCCCUCCUUUUUUUUUUUUUUUUUUUUUUUUGAAUUCUGGGGACCCAUUUAAUAACAGUUACAAAACAGGGGUCUCCCAAGACUGAGGCAGACCCUGGUGGAGUUCCAUACAAGCUAAGCCAUGGAAGUGGCUCUUUUCUGGAACGUUCUGCGCACUGUCGAGGCUGCUGGUGGACAGCUGCCGCUGCCCAAUAUGGCGGCUCGGCCGUGCUGGGGAAGCUCUUCCGUCCCCGGGAAUCAGCCAUUUGGCUAACUCCACCAAGUCAAAAGUGCAACUUCUUUUUAAAGAGCUAUUAGGGUGCAGUUUGCCGUGAUUUCUGAGCUGGAGCGCCUCAGCUGGGACAGUGAGAUCUACCGUGGAGAAUCCGCAUCCAUUCCUGACGUCUGGAGCCUCACUAGGGCCAGAACAGACAUAUGGUACCUUAAACUUACAUCAAACUCUGCUUCAGAUGGGAAGCCGCAUUCUGGUCUUGCAUGAUCAUUGAUAAGAAGGCUCAUCACCCCACAUUCACGAGGCUCACUUCUUUACUUCCUUCAAGUCUUUCGCCAGAUGGCACCUGCAUGGUGAGAUUCUCCGGACCAGUCUCCCUCCUCUGUUUCAGGGCCUGCGCAGAGACCUGGACCAGCUCAAAAGGUUGAUAACUGACUUAAUAUAAGCACAAGAAUAACUACGCAUUUAUGUAAAGUCUUUCUCAAAGGAACGUUCAGCACUCUGCAGAUAAUGGACUUAUUUAUCCUUAGAGCACUUCUCUGAGGCAGUUAAAGGACAGGGGUGACCAGACUCAUGUAAUAAAUAAUGUCAAGGACAGCAUGAGGCAAAACUAGCCUAUACGUCUGAGGCCUUGGGGGAGAUGGGAUGGGCCCAAGGUCACCCAGGGAGUUGGGAACAGGAUGAGUGUCCAUGCUCCAAUGAGGUGAUUCAUUCUUUCCAGCACCUCUGCUCCUGGGACCUGACUACAUGUCCCCCGGGCUGGCUCCUGCCUACACACACAUAUCCCAAGGCAUAUUCUAUGGGAUAUCAGAGGUGCUCUUAUCAGUGCAUGGCUUAGUAAGCUCCAAAAAUAUUUGGUUUCACAGAAUUAAACAGUUUUCUUCACUAGAGGACUUUGUAGACGCAUUAACAAGUUACUGUGUUCAUUGCUAAUAUCCAGGAGGGAUCUCCAGUAUGCGGAGUUACCCAAAUUUAUUUGUCCAUGGACACUUCCUUCCCCAGGAUCUCAUUGGAUUGGUGAAAUGCUGAUUUCUUAAGACGUGGUACCGGGACUUCCCUAGUGGAAGGAGAUACCUGGGUUUAGAGAAGAUGUUGGCAAGCCAGGCGGGGAUGUGGGUGACUUUGUAAGUCUGGCUGUUACUGGACGCUAAGACAGCAAGAGGGAAAACUACCCUGUAUGAGACAAAGGGAGGAAUGAACUGUUUUUGUUCCUGGGAGGGAGGAAGAAAGAGAAGAGGAGAAGAGAGAGAAUGGGUAAAAUAAAGAAGCCAGGGCCUGGGUGGGAUCAACAUUCAGUGAAACUGCAGGUUGGUGGGGGAACAAAGGACAUUUUAUAAGGAUGCUUACUGCCGCAUGUGGAACCGUCAGAGGUACAGUGUAAACCUCUCUCCAUUAUCUUCUCCUCCUCUUUAUAGGGCAGUCUAUUAGGGUCAUGUGUGCUUUGCAGAGUGGUGUGUGUGUGUGUGUGUGUGUGUGUGUGUGUGUGUGAAGGGAUUGAGAAAGAGCUUCAUUCCAUCCUUGAACUUUUGUGGACGGCAAAUAGUAUUAACAGACACAGGAGCCUAGAGGCAGAGAUGACCAUGAGAGGUAAGCCUUCCGGUGUCCACAUAACACUUUAAGAGGGGUGGGCACUUGGGGCUUGAGCUAAACUCCCUCGGAUCUCAAUUGCGGCAACGGAUGUGGUGUAGAUCAGCUGACUUCUAAUGCUGUCCUCUGCCCUGUCACCCUCGGGGCCUGACUACCCUCUCCAUUUGUACCAUAGUAGCUCGGGCAUCUGGAGCCACGCGGAACACAUGUCUUCAGACAGUGAUUCCAUUUCCCUUCAACAGUCUGUUCUCCAGAUUGAACAUACUUAAUUCCUUCCACAUGUCUCGUAUGACGAGUUACCAGACUUGUCACCAUGCCGGUCACCCUUGUCUGGACAGCCUCCAGGGUUUCAACGUGCCUCUUGGGAUUUAACACAACACAACAAGUGUGGUCUGCACAUUGCCAAAUACAGUAGGGUCUCUGCUUUCUGUGAUCUGGACCUUCUGCUUCUACCGAGGAAGCCUACGUUGGACCCAGCCUUGUUUUUAUUCAGCGGCCACGUUGGGUUCUCGGCUCCACUAAACUUGCGGUCAACUAAAACCCUGGUCAGGUAAUAAAUACGUCCUAGCCAUUUUGGUCACAGCUGUUCAGAGUGUGUGGUAUUGUUGCCACGUGGGUGAGAACUGUUGCGUUGCAUGUCGUGUUGUGUGAUGAUUAUGGUUUAUAUCGUGUUGUGAUGGGGGAGGAUGUCUUCAAAUACAUGCACAUGUGCACGGGCACUGAAAGCUACCAUGUGCCACUUUCGGGAGUGCCUGGGUAUAACGAAGUGAUAAUUAACAGUGUCAGUCACCAGCAACUUUUUUCUCUUCUUCCUGCACGAUGCAGCUUGUUUGUCAGAGCGUGCCGAUACACUAGUGAUAGGUGCUAUGUAAACACAUAGGUAGACAGACAGAGAGAGACCGGCAGACGGUGACUGUGGAGUGGUACGGAGACCCCAUUGCAAACAUCCGUAACAGUAAUGACAGCCACAGUGUAUAAACAGAAUUCACCUUGAACAGCUUUUAAGUGCUUCUGGGGUAGGAGGUAGGGAUGGUGAGGGUGUCAAGGGCUUCACUCAUAUUAGCUGAGCUUCUAUGUUCUGUCAGAGUUGCGUUAAAAUCUCCUGAUGGAAGUGGUUCUGGAGGGGUCGAAAGCCCCCAGCGAGCCAUUUGUCAUUGGCCCGUGGCCUUGUAGGACCAUGGGCUUAUGUGGGGAGGGGAGAGAGAAGGUGCUUUCUCUUCUCCUGCUCGCUAGCUGUGGGACCUUGAGCAAGCCAACCUUUCUGAGUCCCAGCUUCUUCGUCUGUAACAUGGACUUUUCCCAAGUGGGCUUAGGGGAUAUUGGGAGGGUAGAACCAGUGCCCUGAUGCCCUGGAAGAGCUAUAAGUUAGUAACCUGGCAUAGUCCUUUCCCCUCUUAGUCAAGGUGCUGUUUGGAGAGAGAGUGGCCCGGUCACUCACCCAUGCAACAUUCUGUGAGCCUCUCGGGGGGUCAGGCCUAGUGGGGGGGGGGCUGGGCUUUCACAGCAGACCGUGAUCCCAUCUUCCUAAGCCAGCAGAGGAGACCAGAUCUGCACAUCAGUAACCACAAUGCAAGGUAGAAAUGGGAAGCAUUUUAAGAGGUCAAGAUAACGUGAAAAGGAAGAGUGUACUCUGAGGGGAGGGAGGAAGGGAGGUCAGGAGGGGUUGGCAUUUAUGCUGAUCCUGAAGGAAGUGUAGGAGAUGGACACAGAGGGGGUCAAGAGGAGCUCCAUCUUUGGAGAAGGCAAGAAGUACGACUCCCAUUUGAUGCAGAGUGAUCUGAUCUGAUUUGGCCCUUACUCCAAUUACAAUCCAAACUAACAUUGCAAAGCAUUCCACAUGCGAGGCACUGUGUGGACUGUCUCUGCAAAGGCAGGGCUGAGGGUCCUGGGGUUCUGUUCGGUAGUGUCCCAGGAUGUGGGUAGGGAAAUCCUGAGAGACAUGUUGAAAGUCAGUUCCAGGGGGUUGGCCUUAGUUGGGCAGGUGAAAGGAGCCCUGAAGAAGCUGGAGCAGGGCACCAACAAGAUCCAAGUAGUAGCUUUAGGGGGAUGACUCAGGCCACUGUGUCUGAUAUGAAUGGAGAGUUCCCUCGAGACUCUCUCCUUGCUUUCUUUCUUUUAAAAAAUUUUUUUUUUAACGUUUAGU